CUACGGGUGGCUGCAGUGAGGAAUAUUGCGCAAUGGGGGAAACCCUGACGCAGCGACGCCGCGUGGAUGAUGAAGGCCUUCGGGUCGUAAAAUCCUGUCAGAAGGAAAGAGGUAUAUGGUAGCUAAUAUCUGCCAUAUUUGACGGUACCUUCAAAGGAAGCACCGGCUAACUCCGUGCCAGCAGCCGCGGUAAUACGGAGGGUGCAAGCGUGGUUCGGAAUUACUGGGCGUAAAGCGCGCGUAGGCGGCUGUUUAAGUCAGAUGUGAAAGCCCAUGGCUUAACCAUGGACGUGCAUUUGAUACUGGGCAGCUUGAGUACUGGAGGGGGUGGUGGAAUUCCCGGUGUAGAGGUGAAAUUCGUAGAUAUCGGGAGGAAUACCGGUGGCGAAGGCGACCACCUGGCCAGAUACUGACGCUGAGGUGCGAAAGCGUGGGGAGCAAACAGGAUUAGAUACCCGGUAGUC
rnacentral:rRNA from 1 species